UUUAGGUAUUUGACGUUUUCAGGCAAGGACGUUAUUUUUUACCUAAAAUUAGAUUUUUCUUGUGUUUGUAAAAAAAUAUGUUUGCUGCUGGUGAUUGCUCAAAAAUCUCCGGCUAUCGCCAUUGCAUUUUCCUGCUGUUGGAUUAUUUGCAUUCUUUAGACUACAUUUUGCGAUUCAAAGCUGAUGAAUUCCUGAAAAUGGUUUCCAUGUGUAAUAUUCCGCCUGAAAUUUUGGGGCGGCUGAUCAGUUGGCAUUUCAACAGUUAUUACAAAAAGUCAAUCCUCUGGAUAGUUAUGACAAUGUCCCACCCGAAAAACUUUCAGACUGGACCAGGACUCUAACCGAGUCACCUCCAAUAAGAUAAAAUCGAGGGAUAAAAUUGUAUCAACAAUCCUCGAUUCACGGCCACAUGCCUCCAUCCUCGGUUGCGCGGAACGCCUGCCAAGUCGUUUUUCAUUUGGUUUUCCCACCGAGCUCGAAAACCGCUAAAAAUUGUCCUACUCACACAUCAUUCGAAUACCCCAAGUGCUUGCAGGUCGUCCUCGAGCAGAGUUAAAGAUUCAUGUUCAUGGAGGACCACUUAAGAGCCCUUUGUAAAUGAUACAUUUGAUGCGGGCAUGAAUCUUGCUUGACCAGUUGUAGAACUUGUAUUAUUCUAAAAUUUCGGAAAGCCUCACUUCUCUGAUGGAAUGUUUCUCACGGAUUUUAUUCCCAUUUAUUUUAUAGGGGGUGUUUCGAACGAAAAACCGAAAAUCCGACCUAUUUUGAAAUACAUAGGAACCGGAAUCCAGCGGAAAAGUUUGUCAAGGUAUGAGCGAAGACGGCUAAUAACCGUCUUCGGUAUGAGGCUACCGUAAGGGGAAAUUCUUGUUGUGCUACAAA